AGUAGACUGAUAAAUUCAAAUGAUAUUGAUCACACUAUCAAUUCAUUUGAGUACGGCCAUGUAUUUCUCAGUCUCACUCAUCGAGGGGCCCAGAAGAUAUCUCUCUCAUAGAGAGGGACAAAUCCUAUCUUGAUUGUUCAUUUUCCUCUACAUAAUUUCUAUUAUGUUCAAUCAUAACCUUUAUGAUUGUCCGAUUAAAGACA
rnacentral:lncRNA from 1 species